rnacentral:rRNA from 1 species
AUUGAACGCUGGCGGCAGGCCUAACACAUGCAAGUCGAACGAGUGGCGGACGGGUGAGUAAUGUCUGGGAAACUGCCUGAUGGAUGGUGAUAACUACUGGAAACGGUAUCUAAUACCGCAUACCAUCGGAUGUGCCCAGAUGGGAUUAGCUAGUAGGUGGGUUAACGGUUCACCUAGGCGACGAUCCCUAGCUGGUCUGAGAGGAUGACGGGGCAGACGGAAACUGAGAAACGGUGCAAGAGCCUACGGGAGGGGGCAGUGGGGAAGAAUGCGCAGUGGGCGAAAGCCUGAAGCAGGGAAGCCGCGUGAAUGAGGAAGGAAAUCGGGUAGUAAAACACUUAUGGUGGGGAGGCGUAACACGUAGAAGAAGCACCGGCUAACUCCGUGCCAGCAGCCGCGGUAAUAC